AGUGAACGCUGGCGGUAGGCCUAACACAUGCAAGUCGAACGGCAGCACAGUAAGAGCUUGCUCUUACGGGUGGCGAGUGGCGGACGGGUGAGGAAUACAUCGGAAUCUACUUUUUCGUGGGGGAUAACGUAGGGAAACUUACGCUAAUACCGCAUACGACCUACGGGUGAAAGCAGGGGAUCUUCGGACCUUGCGCGAUUGAAUGAGCCGAUGUCGGAUUAGCUAGUUGGCGGGGUAAAGGCCCACCAAGGCGACGAUCCGUAGCUGGUCUGAGAGGAUGAUCAGCCACACUGGAUCUGAGACACGGUCCAGACUCCUACGGGAGGCAGCAGUGGGGAAUAUUGGACAAUGGGCGCAAGCCUGAUCCAGCCAUACCGCGUGGGUGAAGAGGGCCUUCGGGUUGUAAAGCCCUUUUGUUGGGAAAGAAAAGCAGCAGGUUAAUACCCCGCUGUUCUGACGGUACCCAAAGAAUAAGCACCGGCUAACUUCGUG
rnacentral:rRNA from 1 species